UACAGAGGUCCCAAGCGUUGUUCGGAUUCACUGGGCGUAAAGGGUGCGUAGGUGGUUGAGUAAGUCUAAUGUGAAAUCUCCGAGCCUAACUCGGAAACUGCAUCGGAUACUAUCCGGCUAGAGGGUUGGAGGGGGGACUGGAAUACUUGGUGUAGCAGUGAAAUGCGUAGAUAUCAAGUGGAACACCAGUGGCGAAGGCGAGUCCCUAGACAACUCCUGACACUGAGGCACGAAAGCUAGGGGAGCAAACAGG
rnacentral:rRNA from 1 species